AUUGAACGCUGGCGGCAGGCCUAACACAUGCAAGUCGAACGAGUGGCGGACGGGUGAGUAAUGUCUGGGAAAAUGCCCGAUGGCGGGGGAUAACUACUGGAAACGGUAGCUAAUACCGCAUACCAUCGGAUGUGCACAGAUGGGGUUAGCUAGUGGGUGGGGUAACGGCUCACCUAGGCGACGAUCCCUAGCUGGUCUGAGAGGAUGACCGGCCACACUGGAACUGAGACACGGUCCAGGCUCCUACGGGAGGCAGCAGUGGGGAAUAUUGCACAAUGGGCGCAAGCCUGAUGCAGCCAUGCCGCGUGUAUGAAGAAGGCCUUCGGGUUGUAAAGUACUUUCAGCGGGGAGGCGGUACUCGCAGAAGAAGCACCGGCUAACUCCGUGCCAGCCGCCGCGGUAAUAC
rnacentral:rRNA from 1 species